rnacentral:tRNA from 1 species
AGCUUUAUAGUCAAUAUAAUGAUAUUAGAUUGCAAUUCUAAAGUAGUGGUUUUACUAAAGCUU